GUCUAUGGCCAUACCACCCUGAAUAUGCCAGAUCUCGUAUUAUCUCAGAAGCUAAGCAGGGUCAGGCCUGGUUAGUACUUGCAUGGGAUAGUUAUGUCACUUAUUGAGGAAAAAAUAACGAGCUCUAGCAC
rnacentral:rRNA from 1 species